GCACCCUCUGAUUGCCAGUAGCUGAUCUGCCCUAGAGUAAUAACACAGAGAGAAUAGUUCAGCUAGUCCGGACCGAAGGCACUUUCAGAGCAGCACCAAUUUGCCUUGCCUGCUGCCCUGCAGACUGACGUGAGACAGAGGGAGAUGAAGCGCUGAGACCCAGCUGAGGGCUCGC
rnacentral:lncRNA from 12 species